GCCCCCGUAGCUCAUCGGUCAGCGUUUUGUCUUUGUCUUUGUCUUUUCUUCAGCGUGUAUUGUUAUCCAGUGAUUGUGAUUAAGGCCAAGCGAAAGACGUCGGUUCGAAUCCGACCGGGGGUA